UACGGAGGGGGCUAGCGUUGUUCGGAAUUACUGGGCGUAAAGCGCGCGUAGGCGGACCUGCAAGUCGGGGGUGAAAGCCCGAGGCUCAACCUCGGAACUGCCUUCGAUACUGCGGGUCUCGAGUCCGGGAGAGGUGAGUGGAAUUCCUAGUGUAGAGGUAAAAUUCGUAGAUAUUAGGAAGAACACCAGUGGCGAAGGCGGCUCACUGGCCCGGUACUGACGCUGAGGCGCGAAAGCGUGGGGAGCAAACAGG
rnacentral:rRNA from 1 species